AUUGAACGCUGGCGGCAGGCCUAACACAUGCAAGUCGAGCGGAUGAAGGGAGCUUGCUCCUGGAUUCAGCGGCGGACGGGUGAGUAAUGCCUAGGAAUCUGCCUGGUAGUGGGGGAUAACGUCCGGAAACGGGCGCUAAUACCGCAUACGUCCUGAGGGAGAAAGUGGGGGAUCUUCGGACCUCACGCUAUCAGAUGAGCCUAGGUCGGAUUAGCUAGUUGGUGGGGUAAAGGCCUACCAAGGCGACGAUCCGUAACUGGUCUGAGAGGAUGAUCAGUCGCACUGGAACUGAGACACGGUCCAGACUCCUACGGGAGGCAGCAGUGGGGAAUAUUGGACAAUGGGCGAAAGCCUGAUCCAGCCAUGCCGCGUGUGUGAAGAAGGUCUUCGGAUUGUAAAGCACUUUAAGUUGGGAGGAAGGGCAGUAAGUUAAUACCUGGCUGUUUUGACGUUACCAACAGAAUAAGCACCGGCUAACUUCGU
rnacentral:rRNA from 1 species